UUACGUUUUUUUCCACUUGGAAAUUCCACGUAGGCAAGACAUUUGACCGAAACAUUAAAUCUUCAAUUUAGUCCCUGGUGAUUUUUUUUCUUUCUCUCCCCAUCUUCUUCUACCUCUCCCCACCACCAUCACCCCUCUCUUCCUCCCCCUUCCUCCCCAACCGUCCACGCCCUCCACCACCACCAUCACUCUAAAACCCCAACUCAAAAAUCAUAAAACAAAAAACCCCAAAUUUUCUUUCAUCCCUAAUUGACAAUUUAUCGAUUUUUCCCCUUGAAACCCUAACAUUUUUUCAGAUGAACCACUUGUAAAUUCUAAAUUUUGAAGCUUAAUUUCUGCUGUAAUUGAGAGUUUAAUAGCAUCUCACCACCAAUUUGCGGGAGAGAAUAUAUGGCGGAAAACAAUCCGUCCAAGAAAGUAUUUGAUAGGCAUCUCAGGCAUGAAGUCCUUGGUGAAGGUACCUACGGUGUUGUGUACAAAGCCAUUGAUACCCAGGGACCGCGGGAGGCAUUUUAGAAGUUUAAGGACCAACUUGAAGGUGAUUGACACUUUCAGGGACCAAGUUGCUAUUUACCCCUUGAAUCUAUUUCAUCUUUGGUGAUCUUUAAUUUUAAUUUUAUAUGUGAACUAGUAUCUUUUAUCCAUGCGAUGCACAUGGUAUUCAUUUUUGUGCGA